AUGACUUUGAUCUCCGUCCUCAUCUGGACUCUCCUCUGCUGCUGCUUCACAGAGUCCAGAGGCCAGGUCACAGUGACUCAGCCUGCAGCAGUGAGAUCUGCUCUGGGAGGAUCCGUCUCCAUCAGCUGUAAAACUAAUUCACAGGUGGAUAUAGGAAGCAGUAGCCGUAAAGAUCUUUUACACUGGUACCACCAGAGAGAUGUAGAAGCUCCUAAACCACUAAUUUACAGGGUUAAUGAGCGAGCACCGGGGAUUCCAGAUCGUUUUUCAGGCAGUGGAUCAAAAACUGACUUCACUCUGACCAUCAGUGGAGUUCAGGCUGAAGAUUCAGGAGUUUAUUACUGUCAGAGUUAUCACAGUUCAUCAGGACAAAAAAUCCUGACUCAGUCUCCUGGAUCUCAGUCUGUUGUUCCAGGACAGACUGUCUCCAUCAGAUGUAAAACCAGUUCAGGUGUUAGUAACUACCUCCACUGGUACCUUCAGAAACAUGGAAAGGCUCCUAAACUCCUGAUUUAUGAUUCUACAAACCGUCAGCCUGGAGUUUCAGAUCGUUUCAGUGGAAGUGGAUCUGGGACUGACUUCACUCUGACCAUCAGUGGAGUUCAGGCUGAAGAUUCAGGAGUUUAUUACUGUCAGCAUGGUAGCAGCUACCCGUUCACACAGUGA